UGGUUGAUAAUUUUAAUUGAGCUUCCAGAUUAUUAUUAUUUAGUCCCACGAAAUAAAUCAAAAGCCAAAGCAGACAGAAGAAUAAGUUCCAGUGCAUGUGCUCGAGGAAAAAACAAAAACAAAAUACACUGCGUUCAGCGAAGUGUGACGACGGAUAGAGAUGUAAUGAAGAAACAAGCAAAAUUGUUUUUGUUUCGCAUGGUAAUCGAAGCCCAUAUGCACGGUGCUUAUGGGCGCACUAGCCAUAAGCACAGAGCAUCUACAAAAACAAAAGUGCACUCAGUGUAUAGGCGUUAAGCACCCCUGCUCUAAAUUGACCACAUUUUUUCAUUGCAACCUUGCUUUUUCCGGAAAUCUAACGGGACUUUUUAAAAAUAGAAUGCAAAGUGUGAACACGUGUUCAAUUUUGCUGCUGCAGCUACGUUAAAGAGCUUUUCGUCAAAACAAAAGUGAAGUUCAAAGUGGUCGGACGUUCGCAAAAAUUCACUAAAUUUAAUUAUUUAAAAUGCAUUUUAAAGUUGAAGAUCGAAUAACCCUUUUUUGUCUAUUUUGUGAACGUCUUUUUCAUGUUUAGUUAAAGUUUUAGUUGUGAUCCCACGAAAUCCCACAAAUAGUAUGUAUGUUAAUGUGUUCGUCUAACUUUUGGGGUACUGUAUGCCUAAAAUCAGCUGCAGUCAUUUGCAGUUGUUAAUAUAAUCGGAAAAAUACUGAUGCCAUCUAGCGUUUGCCAAGGGAAAGUUUUUCCUUAUUGGGCUGUUGUUUUGUUCUCGUCGCUCGUGUUUGUAAUGUUUUUUGAAAUAUUUUUAGUUAUUCAUUUCAUUGAAAUUCACUUUUUAGGAGAUUCCCAUAAGUGUGCAUUUACACGACUAUAUAUUUUUGAUCUUUGGUGUGCAGAAGGUGGCACCAACGCUGAAAGAUUAAAAAAAAAAUGGUUGAAUUUAUGCAAGAGCAAAUUGAAAACAACGGUUACAUUCCCGAGCUAAGCCAACUACCAAAACGAAUUGAUUGCAUAUGCAAAAGAAUUGCUACUUUUUGGGAUAGAUACAAACGGAAGAAAACUGCAAUUAUGCAAUAUCAAUCAAGUUUGCUGAAUAAAAUAGAAACAAUUGUGUUGACCUGUGGUCGUGAGUUGUCUCAACCAACACAAUAACACAGUGUUAAUCUUGGACAGCCGAAAAUUGAUUUUUAGAUUGUUCGAAUAGAGCAAAACGUCGAAGGAUUGCUGAAAUAGCGAAAACGGAUCACUUGAAAACGGAGAAUUUGAUUAACUAUUAUGUUUUCUUUGUUUUUUAUUUAAUAUAUGUUUUUUUAUUUUAUUUAAUAUGGUUCCUAAUUUGUUUACAAAAGUGUAUUAUUAUUAAAGUAUUUGAAUAUUACUUGAAACUCGUA